UACGUAGGCAGCAAGCGUUGUUCGGAAUUACUGGGCGUAAAGAGUGUGUAGGCGGUGUUCCAAGUCUGUUGUGAAAUCUCCCGGCUUAACUGGGAGGGUGCGGCGGAAACUGGGAUGCUAGAGGAUGGGAGAGGUAAGCGGAAUUCCUGGUGUAGCGGUGAAAUGCGUAGAUAUCAGGAGGAACACCUGCGGUGUAGACGGCUUUCUGGACCAUUGUUGACGCUGAGACACGAAAGCGUGGGUAGCAAACAGG
rnacentral:rRNA from 1 species